AGUCACCUGCAGCCCAAGGGCCCAGGCCACGUGCUGGCCUCACGCUCUCCUCACCCCAGGUUCCUGCCCUAGCGUGGGACAGAGGAUGCGGCCUGCGGGAAUGAAGGAGAUUCCUUGGAAUGAAACCAAUGGGAGAAGAGGGUUUGACAGAGUCUCAUCGAGCAGAUGGACCAGCAGUGGCCAAAGAGCUUGUUGCCUUUGGCUGAGAGCACCAUCCCGGAGCUGAACGUCUUGUGAGUAAACCCCGGCAGGCCCAGCCUUAGCCCGCGUGAGGCCGUCCUGCUUCUCCUUGAAGGAGGACCUCGUGUACCCCCCAGCUUCCCUCCCCUCUUGCUGAUGUUGACAAUCACGUCCUCAGAGGACUCUUGGACCUAAAACCAUGACCAUCAGCAGCCCCGGAAGGAUGGUGUCUUAGUGCUUUCGGUCUCGGGGUGUGUUUGUAAGUAUACCGCAUGGAAGGUCAGGAAAGCUGGGUUCUAACUAGCCACUAACUUUCCUGGGAACCUUAGGCCAAUCGUUCCAACCUAGGCCACAGUUUCAUCAGCUGUAACAUUGUUUAUAAUCACAUUAGCUCAAUUUAUGAAUCAUUCACUAUUGUCUAUCAGACAUAAUAUUGCAUUCAUUCACUAGUCCUCUGAAAUAGGUAAUGUUACUGUCCCAUUUUACAGAUAAGGAAACCGAGGCUUGGAAUUCUCAUCCCCUUACCACCCUAUUUCAAUCACCAGCCCUACCCGCCACCAACACUCCCUUCUCUGCUUUGUCUUAGCUGUGGCAUUGAUUACCACCUGACAUAGCACAUGUUUUACUUUUCUGUUUGCCCUCUCCCUCUACAAGGCUGUAAGUCUCUUUAGGGAAUGGAUUUCGUCCUGUUGUUUUUGUUUAUUUGUUUGUUUGUUUGUUUUUUAGGGCCGCACCAGAGGCAUGUGGAGGUUCCCAGGCUAGGGGUCUAAUCGGAGCUGUAGCCGCCAGCCUACACCACAGCCACAGCAAUGAGGGAUCCGAGCCACGCUUGCAACCUACACUACAGCUCACAGCAAUGCAGGAUCCUUAACCCACUGAUCGAAGCCAGGGAUCAAACCCGCAUUCAUGGGUACUAGCCGGGUUUGUAAACCGCUGAGCCACGAUGGGAAUGCCAUCGUCCUGUUGUUGUUGUUAGCAUUCACUUGCUGUGUUCCCUGGGCUUAGAAGAGUCUCUGGCACACAGUAGGCACUCAGGUACUGUUUGAAUGAAAACAGUGAAUGAAUGAAUUCUUGGUAGGAGUAUAAAUGGGUGUAGACUCUAGAGAAAUCCAUGCAGCAAUGUUAAUAUUUAGCAUGCAUUAGCUUUUUGACCCUGCAGGACCAGAACUAGGAAUUUAUCCUGUGGAUGAUGUAUUCAUGCCUGUGCCUAAAGCCCUAAAUGCAGGGAUGUUUACUGUGGUGGUGUUUGCUGUAGAAAAAGACCAGAAACAAUCAAAGUGUUCAUCAAUGACAGAACUCAUUAAGCAAUAGCUCCCUACGGUGGAAUUCUCUGCAGAAGCAGAAAAGAGGGGAGGAGCUCUGCUUGCAGCCUGAGGUACGUUAGUCAGUGAAAUACAGCAGAGUCCAGAACAGAAUAUAACCUCCCCUAUUUGCACUCAAAGAAAAAAAUGUGAUAGACUUUAAAAUACUCUUGUUUGUACCUGGACUGUUUGUAGAAGGAGAAACUAGAAAUAGUUGGAAUGGAGAAUAUAGUCUUAAAGUAUACUCUUUUUUUAAAGUUUUUUUUUAAAGCAGUUUUAUUGAGACACAGUUCAUAUACCAUGCAAUUCCCCAAUUUAAAGUGUGUAAUUCAGUGAGUUUAGCAAUAUUUCACUACUAACUUUUAAAAAUUGUGGUAAAUAUAUAUGACAUACAAUUUGCCAUUUUAACCAUUUUGAAGCAUGGGAUUCAGUGGCAUCAGUUACAUUCACAGUGUUGUACAACCAUCCCCACUGUCUACUUCCCAAACUUUUUUAGCCCUCAAACAGAAACUCUGUAACCGUUGCAGUAUAGUAUUUUGUAGUAUUUGAUUUUUUAAAUCAAGGUAUAGUUGCUUUAUAAUAGUAUAUUAGUUUCAAGUGUACAACAUAGUGAUUCAGUGUUUUUAUAGACCAUUUUAAGUUAUUGUAAAAUGCUGGCCCUAUUUUCCUGUGCUGUGCAAUAUAUCCUUGUUCUUAUCUGGUUUAUACAUAGUAGUUUGUAUCUCUCAAUCCCAUGCCCCCAUCUUCCUUUUCCCACUUUCUACUGGUAACCACUAGGUUGUUUUCUCUAUCUCUGGAUCUAUUUCUGUUUCAUUUUAUACACUUGUUUAUUUUUUAGACUUCUCAUAUGUGAUUACAUAGAGUAUUUGUCUUUUCUUGUCUGACAUGUUUCACUAAGAAUAAUACUCUCUAGGCCCAUACACAUUGUUGUAAAUGGCAGAAUUUAAUCCUUUUAUGGCCGAAUAAUUUUCCACUUUACAUACACACACACCCCCCACAUCUUCUUUAUCCAUUCAACCGAUCAUGGACACUUAAGUUGUUUCCAUGUCAUGGCUAUUGUGAAUAGUGCUGCUGUAAAUAUUGGGAUACAUGUAUCUUUUUAAAUGAAUUUUUUCUUUUGAUAGAUGCCCAGGAGUGGGAUUGCUGGAUCAUGUGGUAGUUCUAUUUUCAGUUUUUUAAGGAACCUCCUUACAUCAUGAUCGAGUGGGGUUUUUUGCAGGGAACCUAGGAUGGUUUAGCAUAUGCAAAUCAACCAGUGUGAUGCACCAUAUUAACAAAAGGAAAGAUUUUAAAAAUCACAUGAUCAUCUCAAUAAGUGCAGAAAAACCAUUUGACAAUGUUCACCAUCCAUUUAUGAUUAAAAACUCGUCAAAGCUGGUAUUGAGGGAAUAUACCUCAACAUAAUAAAGGCCAUUUAUGACAAACCUACAGCUGACAUCAUGCUCAGUGGUCAAAAGCUGAAAGCCUUUCCUCUAAAAUCAGGAAUAAGACAAGGAUGCCCACUCUCACCGCUUCUGUUUAGCACAAUACUGGAAGGCUUGGCCACAGCAAUCAGACAAGAAAAAGAAAUAAAAGACAUCCAAAUUGGAAGAGAAGAAGCCAACCUAUCACUGUUUGCAGAUGACAUGAUACUAUCUAUAAAAAUCCUAAAGUCUCCACCAGAAAACUAUUAGAAUAAAUGAAUAUAGUAAAGUUGUAGGAUGUAAGAUUGAUAUAUAGAAGUGUGUUGCUUUUCUAUACACUAAUAAUGAACUAUCAGAGAAAACAAGAAAACAAUCCUGUUUAAAAUCGUAUCAAAUAGACUUAACCACGGAGAUGAAAGAUCUAUACUCAGAGGACUAUAAAACUCUUCAUGGAUAAUUUGAAAAUAAUACAAAGAAAUGGAAAGAUACCCUAUGUCCUAGGAUUGGAAGAAUUAAUAUUGUUAAAAUGUCCAUACUUCCUAAAGCAAUCUACAGAUUUAAUGCAUGCCUAUCAAAAUACGCAUGAGUUUUUUCACGGAAUCAGAACAAAGAAUCCUAAAAUGUAUGUGGAACUACAAAAGACCCCAAGUUGGGAGUUUCCUGGUGGACUGGCAGUUAAGGAUCUGGCGUUGUCAUUGCUGUGGCUCAUGUUACUGCUGUGGUGCAGUUUCAAUCCCUAUCCCAGGCAUCGCUGCACAUUGCAGGCAUAGCAAAAACAAAAACAAAAAAAACAAAACAAAAAAAACACCUCAAAUUGACAAAGCAAUCUUGAAAAAACAAGAAUGUAGUAUUUGAUUUUUAAAAAUCAUGUGCAUGGAGUUCUUAUUGUGGCUCAGCAAUAACUAGUAAUACCUGACUAGUAUCCAUGAGGACGUGGUUCCAUCCCUGGCCUUGCUCAGUGGGAUAAGGAUCUGGUGUUGUCGUGAGCUGUGGUGAAAGUCACAGACACGGCCUGGAUCUGGUGUUACUGUGGCUGUGGCAUAGGCUGGCAGCUCCAGUUCCACCCCUAGCCUGGGAACUUCCAUAUGUGGUGGGUGUGGCCAUGAAAAAAAAAAAAA
ensembl:lncRNA